CAGUGGCUGUUGGACUGAUCUGUUGCCACUGGCAACAAGGGAGCUGGAAAAAAUCCAUGGCAACAUGCAUCGGCUGUCACCGGUGCGCUGUAUUUACGUCUGGAGCUUUUGUUUGGAUCUGAAUCAGCUAUCGCCUGAGACAUCUACAGUAUAGAAAGACAGUAAGCAACCACCCACAAACACAUCAGCAAUGGUAUAGCAUCACCCUGGCAACCACCCACAAACACAUCAGCAAUGGUAUAGCAUCACCCUGACAACCACCUACAAACACCUCAGGAAUAGCAUCACAACGCCCUGGCAACCACCCAAAAACACCUCAGCAAUGGUAUAGCAACACCCUGGCAACCACCCACAAAUACCUCAGAAAUGGUAUAGCAACACCCUGGCAACCACCCACAAACACUUCAGCAAUGGAAUAGCAACACCCUGGCAAUCCCCAGCAAAAAAAUAUCUAUGGAAUAGCAACACCCUGGCAAUUCCUCAACAACCACCUAAGCAUUGAUAUACCAACACCCUGGCAACCGCCAACGAAACUCUCAAGAAUAGCUUGACAACGCCCUGGCAACUACCAACAAACACUUCAGCAAUGGAAUAGCAACACCCUGGCAACCACCUAGAAACACCUCAGCAAUUAUAUAAAAAUAAAAUAAUAUGGUGAGUGCUGUUAAACAUGCCAUGAUCACUCACAUUUUCAAACAAACUGUAUAAGUCUACAGUAGAUGCUACUGUAGAUAUAUGUUUGCUCGUAUUUUAUAUAUAUUUUGGGCCAUUAUUCCAGUUAAAUUUGCUGAAGGUUGUGAGACUUCCGACCACAAUUGUCAAAUAACACCUAAUACAUUUUCAAAUGGAAUGAGAUCAAAGGUUUGAUUCAAACCUUGUUGGACUUUCAGCUUUUUGGUCCUGGUACUCUUCAAUGUUAAUUCUGCAUUGUGUUUGGAAUCAUCUGCCCAGCUAAAAGAUGACCUUUCUUGCUAAAUUAACUUGUUUCAGCAGAGGAAAACACACUAGGAUGUUAU